rnacentral:rRNA from 1 species
ACUCCAGCUCCAAAAGCGUAUAUUAAAGUUGCUGCAGUUAAAAAGCUCGUAGUUGGAUCUGGGUCGUGCGUUCACAUGUCGUCGCUUGGUUCUGAUUUCGGUCAGUUCCAAGUGAUGGUAAAGUGGUCGUGCAGCCUUUCAGCCGUGUCUGCGUGAGCAGGUGUUGGCUGGCCGGUGAGCUUGCUUGCUGGCCAGUAGACAUGUUUCCUGAUGCCUUUAAACGGG